AGUGUGCCCGCCUUCCCUCACGGACGUGUGCCAGGCCCGUUUACAUGUCCUCUUGCACAAGAUUGAGAAGGAGCCCCUAGUCCUAGCAAAGCGGAUGAUUGAAAGGGGAGGCUUAGGCCCAGCUGAGGAGACCAGUUCUGGCUGCGAGGCCCGAGUUGCCCGGAGGUGAGCUGACCGUUCCGGGCCGGCGGGGCCAGGCCUGGCUCCUGUCCCCACGUGGCUCUAGCUGCUUCAUGGUCUGUGUCCGAGCUUCUCUAAGCCGGAAUGUCUCCGGUUACCUUUUCUCCGUUUGUUAUUGUUUUCUGUUUAUUCAUUUUGUUUGUAACCUAAAUUCCUAAAUGAGCAAAUUCCUAGUCUCCUGAUAAAAAAAAAAAUAAAUUCAAGGUGCUUUA